GACGAACGCUGGCGGCAUGCUUAACACAUGCAAGUCGAACGAAACCUUCGGGUUUAGUGGCGCCCGGGGGCGUGAAGGGGGGGGACCUGCGCUUAUGAUCGGAAUAACUCCCUGGGAGAGGUGUUAAUAACGGGUAAUGUCUCCGGACCGAAGAUUUCUCGCCGUUGGGUGGGCGCGCGUUGGAUUAGGUAGUUGGUAGGGUAAAAGGCCACCCAGGCUGCGCUCCAUAGCUGGGCUGAGCGGAUGCUCAGCCACUCUGGGACUGCGACGCGGCCCAGACUCCGACGCGGGGGAGCAGUGUGGAAUAUUGGACAAUGGGUGAUGGCCUGAUGCAGCGAUGCCGCGUGAGUGAUGCAGGCCGUAGGGUUGUAUAGCUCUUUUACCAGGGCUGGUAGUGACAGUAGUGGUAGAAGAAGCUCCGGCUAACUCCGUG
rnacentral:rRNA from 1 species